GCUUUUAUAGCUCAGUUGGUUAGAGCACCCGCUUAGUAAGCGGGGGGUGUUAAGUUCGACUCUCAUUAAAAGCA
rnacentral:tRNA from 1 species